rnacentral:rRNA from 2 species
AGCGUCAGCGGCGCUGGCUCGGCCGAGUGAGCGAUGUUGCGGACUACGGAUCGCGACACGUUAUCGCUCAUGCCUUGUCCGGUGUCGUCGUCGUGCACUUCUUCUCUAGUAGAACGUCGCGACCCGUUGGGUGCCGGUCUACGGUCCGAGCGGUAGACUGUCGCGUCGCUUCGGCGCACGCGUCAGACCCUCGGUCGCCCGGCCGGCUGCCCGGCGGUCUAACUUAUAAGGUAUCUUGCCGCAAUUAUCGAACUGCGUCGGGCCCGCCGCAAGCGCGGUCAGUGUCUC